UACAGAGGUCCCAAGCGUUGUUCGGAUUCACUGGGCGUAAAGGGUGCGUAGGUGGUGAGGUAAGUCGGAUGUGAAAUCUCCGAGCUCAACUCGGAAACUGCAUUGGAAACUACCUUGCUCGAGGGUUGGAGGGGGGACUGGAAUGCUUGGUGUAGCAGUGAAAUGCGUAGAUAUCGUAAGGAAGACCAGUGGCGAAGGCGGGUCUCUGGACAGUUCCUGACGCUGAGGCACGAAGGUCAGGGGAGCAAACGGG
rnacentral:rRNA from 1 species